rnacentral:tRNA from 1 species
GCCCCGGUAGCUCAGAUGGAUAGAGCGUCCCCCUCCUAAGGGGAAGGUCUCAGGUUCGAAUCCUGAUCGGGGCACCA